rnacentral:rRNA from 1 species
UACGAAGGGGGCUAGCGUUGCUCGGAAUCACUGGGCGUAAAGCGCACGUAGGCGGGUUCUUAAGUCGGUGGUGAAAUCCUGGAGCUCAACUCCAGAACUGCCUCCGAUACUGAGAGCCUCGAGUCCGGGAGAGGUGAGUGGAACUGCGAGUGUAGAGGUGAAAUUCGUAGAUAUCUGGAGGAACACCGGUGGCGAAGGCGGCAUCCUGGACCGGCAUUGACGCUGAGGCGCGAAAGCCAGGGGAGCAAACGGG